rnacentral:rRNA from 1 species
GACAGAGGGGGCAAGCGUUGCUCGGAAUCACUGGGCGUAAAGGGCGCGUAGGCGGGAUGGCAAGUCAGUCGUGAAAUCUCUCGGCUCAACCGAGAAACGUCGGCUGAUACUGCCGUUCUUGAGGGAUGCAGAGGAGACUGGAAUUCCCGGUGUAGCGGUGAAAUGUGUAGAGAUCGGGAGGAACACCGGUGGCGAAGGCGGGUCUCUGGGCAGUAACUGACGCUGAGAAGCGAAA